GUAGGUGGCAAGCGUUGUCCGGAAUUAUUGGGCGUAAAGCGCGCGCAGGUGGUUCUUUAAGUCUGGUGUGAAAGCCCCCGGCUCAACCGGGGAGGGUCAUUGGAAACUGGGGAACUUGAGUGCAGGAGAGGAAAGUGGAAUUCCACGUGCAGCGGUGAAAUGCGUAGAUAUGUGGAGGAACACCAGUGGCGAAGGCGACUUUCUGGCCUGUAACUGACACUGAGGCGCGAAAGCGUGGGGAGCAAACAGGGAUUAGAUACCCUGGUAGUCCACGCCGUAAACGAUGAGUGCUAAGUGUUGGGGGGGUUUCCCGCCCCUCAGUGCUGCAGCUAACGCAUUAAGCACUCCGCCUGGGGAUACGGUCGCAAGACUG
rnacentral:rRNA from 1 species